UACGGGGGAUGCGAGCGUUGUCCGGAUUCACUGGGCGUAAAGGGCGCGUAGGCGGCCCGGUCAGUCAGCGCUCUAAGUGCGGGGCUCAACCCCCGGUGAUGGCGCCGGGACGGCCGGGCUGGGGCGCGGCAGAGGGAGACGGAAUGCCGGGUGUAGUGGUGAAAUGCGUAGAGAUCCGGCGGAACACGGUGGCGAAGCGGUCUCCUGGGCCGAGGGCCGACGCUGAGGCGCGAGAGCGUGGGGAGCGAACCGG
rnacentral:rRNA from 1 species